GAUGCAACGCGAAGAACCUUACCUACUCUUGACAUCCAGAGAAUUUAGCAGAGAUGCUUUAGUGCCUUCGGGAACUCUGAGACAGGUGCUGCAUGGCUGUCGUCAGCUCGUGUUGUGAAAUGUUGGGUUAAGUCCCGCAACGAGCGCAACCCUUAUCCUUGUUUGCCAGCGAGUAAUGUCGGGAACUCCAGGGAGACUGCCGGUGAUAAACCGGAGGAAGGUGGGGACGACGUCAAGUCAUCAUGGCCCUUACGAGUAGGGCUACACACGUGCUACAAUGGCAUAUACAGAGGGCGGCUAACUUGCGAAAGUGUGCGAAUCCCAAAAAGUAUGUCGUAGUCCGGAUUGGAGUCUGCAACUCGACUCCAUGAAGUCGGAAUCG
rnacentral:rRNA from 1 species